UACGUAGGGGGCUAGCGUUGUCCGGAAUCAUUGGGCGUAAAGAGCGUGUAGGCGGCCCGGUAAGUCCGCUGUGAAAGUCGGGGGCUCAACCCUCGAAUGCCGGUGGAUACUGUCGGGCUAGAGUGCGGAAGAGGCGAGUGGAAUUCCUGGUGUAGCGGUGAAAUGCGCAGAUAUCGGGAGGAACACCAGUAGCGAAGGCGGCUCGCUGGGCCAUUCCUGACGCUGAGACGCGAAAGGCUAGGGAGCGAACAGG
rnacentral:rRNA from 1 species